CCUACGGGAGGCAGCAGUGAGGAAUAUUGGUCAAUGGGCGAGAGCCUGAACCAGCCAAGUCGCGUGAGGGAGUACUGCCCUAUGGGUUGUAAACCUCUUUUGUCGGGGAGCAAAGGCCGGACGUGUCCGGCUGUGAGAGUACCCGAAGAAAAAGCAUCGGCUAACUCCGUGCCAGCAGCCGCGGUAAUACGGAGGAUGCGAGCGUUAUCCGGAUUUAUUGGGUUUAAGGGGUGCGCAGGCGGAUUUUUAAGUCAGCGGUAAAAUCGUGGGGCUCAACCCCAUCCAGCCGUUGAAACUGGGGAUCUAGAGUGUGCGAGAGGUAUGCGGAAUGCGUGGUGUAGCGGUGAAAUGCAUAGAUAUCACGCAGAACCCCGAUUGCGAAGGCAGCAUACCGGUGCACAACUGACGCUCAGGCACGAAAGCGUGGGUAUCGAACAGGAUUAGAUACCCGGGUAGUC
rnacentral:rRNA from 1 species